UACGGAGGGGGCUAGCGUUGUUCGGAAUUACUGGGCGUAAAGCGCGCGUAGGCGGCCAACUAAGUCGGACGUGAAAUCCCCAGGCUCAACCUGGGAACUGCGUCUGAUACUGGAUGGCUUGAAUUCGGGAGAGGGAUGCAGAAUUCCAGGUGUAGCGGUGAAAUGCGUAGAUAUCUGGAGGAAUACCGGUGGCGAAGGCGGCGUUCUGGACCAUUACUGACACUGAAUCGCGAAAGCUAGGGGAGCAAACGGG
rnacentral:rRNA from 1 species